CAAUAGCGUAUAUUAAAGUUGUUGCAGUUAAAAAGCUCGUAGUUGGAUUUCUGGUUGAAGCGACCGGUCGAGCGUUGAUUCGUCUGCACUGGAGUCGGUUUUGGCCAUCCUCUAGGAAAGUGCGUCUGGUAUUAAGUUAUCGGGCGUAUGAUCCUGGUCUUUUACUGUGAAAAAAUUAGAGUGUUUAAAGCAGGCCUUCGCCUUGAAUACAUUAGCAUGGAAUAAUAAGAUAGGACUUUGGUCUAUUUUGUUGGUUUGCAGACCGAAGUAAUGAUUAAUAGGGAUAGUUGGGGGUAUUUAUAUUCCGAUGUCAGAGGUGAAAUUCUUAGAUUUUCGGAAGAUAAACUUAUGCGAAAGCAUUUACCAAGGAUGUUUUCAUUAA
rnacentral:rRNA from 1 species